rnacentral:rRNA from 1 species
CCCCAGACUCCUACGGGAGGCAGCAGUGGGGAAUAUUGCGCAAUGGGGGGAACCCUGACGCAGCAACGCCGCGUGCAGGAAGAAGGUCUUCGGAUUGUAAACUGUUGUCGCAGGGGAAGAAGACAGUGACGGUACCCUGUGAGAAAGUCACGGCUAACUACGUGCCAGCAGCCGCGGUAAUACGUAGGUGACAAGCGUUGUCCGGAUUUACUGGGUGUAAAGGGCGCGUAGGCGGAUGUGCAAGUCAGUCGUGAAAUACCGGGGCUCAACCCCGGGGCUGCGAUUGAAACUGCACACCUUGAGUGCGCGAGAAGUAUGCGGAAUGCGUGGUGUAGCGGUGAAAUGCAUAGAUAUCACGCAGAACUCCGAUUGCGAAGGCAGCAUACCGGCGCGCAACUGACGCUCAUGCACGAAAGCGUGGGUAUCGAACAGGAUUAGAUACCCUCGUAUA